rnacentral:rRNA from 1 species
GGAUGAACGCUGGCGGUAUGCCUUAUACAUGCAAGUCGUACGAAAGUUUUUAACUUAAGUGGCGGACGGGUGAGUAACACGUAAGAAUUUGCCUUUAGGAGGGGGAUAACAGCUGGAAACGGUUGCUAAUACCCCAUAUGCUUUAGAGUGAAAUGGAUUUCCGCCUAAAGAGAAGCUUGCGUCUGAUUAGCUUGUUGGUAAGGUAAUGGCUUACCAAGGCGACGAUCAGUAUCUGGUUUGAGAGGACGAUCAGACACACUGGAACUGAGACACGGUCCAGACUCCUGCGGGAGGCAGCAGUAGGGAAUUUUCCGCAAUGGGCGAAAGCCCGACGGAGCAAUACCGCGUGAGGGGAUGACUGCCUAUGGGUUGUAAACCUUCUUUUUC